rnacentral:rRNA from 1 species
UACAGAGGUCCCAAGCGUUGUUCGGAUUCACUGGGCGUAAAGGGUGCGUAGGCGGUCGGGUAAGUCUGAUGUGAAAUCUCACAGCUUAACUGUGAAACUGCAUUGGAUACUAUCCGGCUAGAGGAAUGGAGGGGAGACUGGAAUACUUGGUGUAGCGGUGAAAUGCGCAGAUAUCAGGAGGAACACCGGUGGCGAAGGCGGUGAUCUGGGCCGUUACUGACGCUGAGGAGCGAAAGCGUGGGGAGCGAACAGG